UUCACAGCACAAGGUAUAAUAGAUUCACUACAGCAUAAGACUAGCCUCAUAAUUAUUAUUUUUUCCCAUUAAUCAACAUUUUUCAGAGGAGACAGUGAUUUUUGCUAUUCAUUCAACAGAUUAACACAGAAAGAGAGAGUCCAGAAGCCUGACUGGUCUGUCAGCAAAUCACACUGGCCAUCAUUCAAGUGACAACCUUGGAUAAAGUCAUCACCUUUACCACCCUCUGUUCAGGUCACCACCAGCAUCAGUGAAGAGCAUCCUGAGGGUGUCUGUGUUUUUGUCCCAGCCCUUCAGGGAUCUGUUAUCACCACAAACAGCGAGGAUAUAGUUCUCAGAUAACAUUACUACAACUGAAAAGACAUUGCCGUUGGUGAUGAUCAGUUAACAUUACAUGGGCAUCUGAGGAAGAGACAGAGGACUUAUCCAGGAGGAGGCUGAUAAUGAGCUCCUUGUUCAAGAGCUGGCCUCUGGCAGAGGAGUAGGAUUGGUCCACAUGGAGAAGCCCUAGUGUGCUCCAGAUAGAAAUAAUGAUGUCCACAAUGGAGAUGGAUGUGUUCGGGGCACUUGCUAUGACAACGGAGACUGGUGAUCGACUAUGGUUUAUGGUCUGAAAAGAAGAAAGAGAGAAAACACAACUGGAUCUGUGAGGGGAGGGCUAGGGAAUUAAUCACUUGGAUACCAGACAGUAAUUGAAGAUGUGACAAGACACCACAUGGCUCCAGGCUGCAGAGAGACAAGUGAUUAGAAUGCAGCCAGGGAAGGUGAGAAUUAAUGUGAGUCAAGCCUUAGGCAUUGACAGUGAGGAUGUGGAGGAAUGAGGGUCUGCAGUUCCUGUUGUGUCUAGGGUCCGAGGCGUUGAGAAGAAACAGUGUGCGAUGUGAGUUCCUAUGCAACAUGUGUGAUCUGCUGAGGUCUCACCUGGAAUUAAAGGCAGCCCUUAUCCCAUCUACACCAGGAUUCAGUUACACUUGCUGAAGUGACCCAUGUGCAACCCUGAAAUUCUGGAGUAAACAGUCAUAAAUUAUGAUUUGUCCUUUUCUUCAACUCCCAACAUCAGGAAGCGCCCAGCAUCAUUGCAAUAAGAAGUGUAGAAUGACUAAGAAAAAUAAAUCUGGCAGACCCCAGGGUGCUAGCGAGGUAGUUGCUGGAUGGGGCCUGAAAGGAGAGGGGAGAAACCUUUGAAGUCAAAUGAGAUAAUGUACUUGGGUGAAAGUAAAUCAUCCUGG